rnacentral:rRNA from 1 species
GGAAUUACUGGGCGUAAAGCGCAUGCAGGCGGUUUGUUAAGUCAGAUGUGAAAGCCCGGGGCUCAACCUCGGAACCGCAUUUGAAACUGGCAGGCUAGAGUCUUGUAGAGGGGGGUAGAAUUUCAGGUGUAGCGGUGAAAUGCGUAGAGAUCUGAAGGAAUACCAGUGGCGAAGGCGGCCCCCUGGACAAAGACUGACGCUCAGAUGCGAAAGCGUGGGUAGCAAACAGGAUUAGAUACCCUGGUAGUCCACGCCGUAAACGCUGUCUACUUGGAGGUUGAGGUUUAGACUUUGGCUUUCGGCGCUAACGCAUUAAGUAGACCGCCUGGGGAGUACGGCCGCAAGGUUAAAACUCAAAUGAAUUGACGGGGGCCCGCACAAGCGGUGGAGCAUGUGGUUUAAUUCGAUGCAACGCGAAGAACCUUACCUACUCUUGACAUCCAGCGAAUCCUUUAGAGAUAGAGGAGUGCCUUCGGGAGCGCUGAGACAGGUGCUGCAUGGCUGUCGUCAGCUCGUGUUGUGAAAUGUUGGGUUAAGUCCCGCAACGAGCGCAACCCUUAUCCUUGUUUGCCAGCACGUAAUGGUGGGAACUCCAGGGAGACUGCCGGUGAUAAACCGGAGGAAGGUGGGGACGACGUCAAGUCAUCAUGGCCCUUACGAGUAGGGCUACACACGUGCUACAAUGGCAGAUACAGAGGGCAGCGAAGCUGCGAAGUGGAGCGAAUCCCUUAAAGUCUGUCGUAGUCCGGAUUGGAGUCUGCAACUCGACUCCAUGAAGUCGGAAUCGCUAGUAAUCGUGGGUCAGAAUGCCACGGUGAAUACGUUCCCGGGCCUUGUACACACCGCCCGU